rnacentral:tRNA from 1 species
GGCUUUGUAGCUCUGCCGGCAGAGCGCUUGCCGCGUAGAGGCAUGGUGUUUCUGUUGCUGGUUCGAAUCAAGCCGAAGCCC